rnacentral:rRNA from 1 species
ACAGCUCAAAUUUGAAAUCUGGCCCCCCGCGGGCCCGAGUUGUACUUUGGAGAGGACGCUUCUGGCGCGGCGCCGUCCGAGUUCCCUGGAACGGGACGCCGGAGAGGGUGAGAGCCCCGUACGGGCGGCCGCCUAGCCUCUGCGAAGCUCCUUCGACGAGUCGAGUAGUUUGGGAAUGCUGCUCAAAAUGGGAGGUAAAUUUCUUCUAAAGCUAAAUACCGGCCAGAGACCGAUAGCGCACAAGUAGAGUGAUCGAAAGAUGAAAAGCACUUUGAAAAGAGGGUCAAACAGUACGUGAAAUUGUUGAAAGGGAAGCGCCUGUGGCCAGACUUGCGCCCCGCGGACCACCCGGCGCCUCGCGCGCCGGGGCACGCCAGCGGGGCGCAGGCCAGCAUCGGCUCUCUCGGGGGGACAAAGGCCGCGGGAACGUAGCGCCCUCGCGGCGUAUUAUAGCCCGCGGCGCCAUGCCCCCGGGGGGGCCGAGGACCGCGCUCCGGCAAGGAUGCUGGCGUAAUGGCCACCGGCGACCCGUCUUGAAACACGGACCAAGGAGUCAAGCAUUGGGGCGAGUGUCUGGGUGGCAAGCCCGCACGCGGAAUGAAAGUGAACGCAGGUGGGAGCUUCGGCGCACCACCGACCGAUCCUGAUGUCCUCGGAUGGAUUUGAGUAGGAGCCCCGCCGCUUGGACCCGAAAGAUGGUGAACUAUGCCUGUAUAGGGUGAAGCCAGAGGAAACUCUGGUGGAGGCCCGCAGCGGUUCUGACGUGCAAAUCGAUCGUCAAAUAUGG